rnacentral:rRNA from 1 species
AUACGAAAGGUGCAAGCGUUGUUCGGAUUUACUGGGCGUAAAGAGAGUGUAGGUUGUUUAUUAAGUCGGAUGUGAAAUCCCGGGGCUCAACCUCGGAACUGCAUUCGAUACUGGUAGACUAGAGUUCGGGAGGGGUAAGCGGAAUUCCGUGUGUAGCAGUGAAAUGCGUAGAUAUACGGAGGAACACCUGAGGCGAAGGCGGCUUACUGGACCGAUACUGACACUGAGACUCGAAAGCGUGGGUAGCAAACAGGAUUAGAUACCCUGGUAGUCC